UUUCGUGUUCGUAACUGCACUAAGACUCCCUUUAAAGUCACUUUCUAUCCGUGGUAGAUCCCCUCAUUUCCUUCUGUAACCUGUUGCCUUGUUUAAAACCACCUGUGUUCUAUUUACGGAAGUACUUGGGGAGUAUUUUGUGCAGUUUAUCAGGAUGAAGCUGGCGCUGUGUGAAAAUCAAACCAUUUUGCUGAGAAACACAGAUCAUAAACAUGUUUUAUAGUCUGAUUAAGUAGAAGUUUAGAUAGAAGUUCUAGUUGCUGCAUCAUCCUCCUCCCUACACCUCCCGUUGUUUUCUUAUUUAUCACCAUCACUGACAUCUCUCACCUCGCUCCCCCUGGCCUCCCCCGAGCCUCACCUGCCUCCCCCUUCACCUGUUCCUCCCCCUCAUUAACACCGAGCCCUGACGGAUGUUGAGGUGAGGCCCGACUCGCCCCUCAGCGUCGCUCUUGCCCCUGUUGCUCGGUGCAGGAAACCCCUCACCUCUCGGCAGGAGUGGCAGUCGGUUCCCCCGCCAUCUGCCGCCUCGCCGCGACCCUCCGCCGCCGCCCUGCGACUCCCGACGCAGCUGCUGGGCCGAGGUGAUGAUGGGAGGAAGACCUGCUGCUGCAUUCAGGGCCCACCAGGAGGGUCGUACGGGGGAAACACGAGGCGGUGUUCAGAUGGUCGGAGCUGCAGGGAACGAGGCCGUAAAUACCGACGCAGACAGGCGGAGGAGAUCAAGAGACUCUCCAGUUCCGUGUCCUCUCUCGGCGUUUAGAAGCAGCUCUUCUCGCUGCCGAUGAUGCUGAUGAUGCUGAUGAUGAUGAUGAGGAUGAUGCAGAAGACCACGCAGUCAUUAUCAUUCACUUCACUCCCACAAUCCUCUGCUCCAACUCCAAUUAACGUGUGAUUGUAUGCUUGGCAUGGAAAACAUAAUUAACAACCUGCGUCUCUGCCAACCUAAGCAGCCAACACGCUAUUUGUGCAGCGCGUCGAUCUGAACGCAGGAAAAGCAAACGCAACAGCAGCAACAACAACAACAACUCCGUGUUCUGGGUUCAGAGGCAGAGCGGCGGCUCGGUGUCCCGCGAGGGAAACCGCCGUUCACCGUAAUGGCGGCGGCGGCUCGGAGCUCUUCUCUCUGAUGGACUGCAGGCUGCUGAGGGACGGCGCUUUGUGGCGUGGACAAGAGGAAUUAUGGGAGAGCACGCCAAGAGAGGCCCGGGGGGAACCGUGGAUGUGUGUGUGUGCUGUUAAUUUGGUCUUUUAAAACACACACCGAAGGAUAUCUGUGAAUCAGAAACACAAAUGUGCUCGUCGGACCACAUGAAGAGACGUGAACAGUGGUAACAUACAGAACAUGCUGGCAUACGUGAUGAGCAGCCUGAUGUCCUGAAAUGAGCACCGGGUCAAAAAGUCCGUUUCUAUUUCUGCCACUGCGACAAAAGUUUCUGAUUUGGACAAAAUAAAGAGUUUACUGAGAGGAUGAUUUUACCUCAAACACAUUAUAGCACACCAACACACCAACUUUAUAGUAAAAAAAACCCAGACAUGUUAUUUUUAGUGCUUAGUUUCGUAAUUAAAUACAAAUACUUUAAAAUGCUUUGUAAAAAAUGGUCAUGUUAUGUGCAUCAUAGCUAAAGUUAAAGGACAAAUUAGAUUUGAGUUCAACAAAAUUUGAAAUUAUACCUCAGGCUAAGCUGAGGAGUGUAGCCGUUAUUUAUUCUCUUUUUCUAUCAGAUUUAAAGACAAAAUGCUUCAAAAAUAAUCUAUAUAAGAUAUACUUUAUCAGAAAGGAAACUUGCCGGUAAACUAAUGUCUUUAAUUGUUUAAUAGUUAUUGACAAUUAACCAGAAUGUUUUGCUAACAUUAGCCACAAUAUUUAGUUUUAUCUCUUAAGUUUUAGCUAGCAUUACUGAAAAUGUUUUAGCUUUAAAACCAAACUGUUAGCUAAAGUUAACCAAACAAUUUUUGCUUCUAAGUUGAAUUGUUAGCUGACUGUAGCCAGAAAAAGCUAACUUCUAAAAUGAUGUGUUAGCUGACCCAUAAUAUCUUAGCUUGUAGACGGAAAUGUUGGCUAACAUCACCUAGUUUAUUUUAGCAUCAAAACUGAACUGUUUGCUAACAUUAACCAAAAUAAUGUAACUUGUAAACUGAAGUGUUAGCUAACAUUAGCCAGAAUACGCUAGUUUUAAACUGAACUGUUAGCUAAUGUUAACCAAUAUGGUAUAGCUUGUAAACUUAAGUAUUAGGUAACAUUAGCCGGGAAUAUUUUAGCUUUAAAACUGAACUAUUAGUAAAUGUGAACCAAAAUAUUUUAGCUCACAAGUUGAAGUGUUAGCUGACAGUAGCCAGAAUAAGCUAACUUCUAAACUGAUGUGUUAACUGUCAUUAGCCAGAAUAUUGUAGCUUUAAAAUUGAACUGUUAGCUUAUAUUAACCAAAGUAUUAUAGCUUGUAAACUGAACAGUUCGCUAAAAUCAACCAAAAUAUUAUAACUUCUAAACUGAAGUGUUAGCUGACAGUAGCCAGAAUAUUUAGCUUUUAAACUGAACUGUUACUUAAUGUGAACAUUUUUUUAGCUUAUAAGUUGAAGUGCGAGCUGACAGUAGCCACAAAAAGCUAACUUCUAAAUUGAUGUUUCAGCUGACAUUACCCAGAAUAUUAAAGCUUGUAACGUGAAGUGUUAGCUAACAUUAGCCGUCAUAUUUUAGUAUUAAAACCGAACUGUUAGCUAAUGUAAACCAGAAUAUUUUAGCUUUAAAACCGAACUGUUAGCUAAUGUAAACCAGAGUAUUUUAGCUUUAAAACCGAACUGUUAGCUAAUGUAAACCAGAAUAUUUUAGCUUUAAAACUGAACUGUUAGCUAUUGUAAACCACAAUAUUUUAGCUUUAAAACCAAACCGUUAGCUAAUGUAAACCACAAUCUUUUAGCUUUAAAACUGAAGUGUUAGCUAACAUUAGCCAGAAUAUAUUAGCUUUAGCUUGUACUGGUGAGCAAAUGGCGACAGGGUGAUCAAGACCUCAUAGUGGAAGCCCAUGGCCACAUUUCCUGUAACCUGGUAGCUUAUUGUGGAAACCAAACAUUUUAUGACCGUUUGUGUCUAAAAUGAACAAACCUCACCUAAAAUAUAAUUAGAGGAUUUGUUGUUUUUUUAUAUUUGCAGAGCGUUUUUUACAGCAUGCAUACUCCUUGCACACUUCAUUCCAAUAGUGGAAGUGUAGUAUAUUUUAUGAUUAUUGUUGUUGUUGUUAUUUUACCUGUUCACUGUGGUCUUUCCUAAAUAAAUAAUUAUAUCCCUGAGGUUACAAGAAACAAAUCUUAACCUCAGCUGUUUA